rnacentral:rRNA from 1 species
UUUGACCUCAAAUCAGGAU